AUUGAACGCUGGCGGCAGGCUUAACACAUGCAAGUCGAGCGGGGUGAUGGUGCUUGCACUAUCACUUAGCGGCGGACGGGUGAGUAUGCUUAGGAAUCUGCCUAUUAGUGGGGGACAACAUCUCGAAAGGGAUGCUAAUACCGCAUACGUCCUACGGGAGAAAGCAGGGAUCACUUGUGACCUUGCGCUAAUAGAUGAGCCUAAGUCGGAUUAGCUAGUUGGUGGGGUAAAGGCCUACCAAGGCGACGAUCUGUAGCGGGUCUGAGAGGAUGAUCCGCCACACUGGGACUGAGACGCGGCCCAGACUCCUACGGGAGGCAGCAGUGGGGAAUAUUGGACAAUGGGGGGAACCCUGAUCCAGCCAUGCCGCGUGUGUGAAGAAGGCCUUAUGGUUGUAAAGCACUUUAAGCGAGGAGGAGGCUCUUUUGGUUAAUACCCAAGAUGAGUGGACGUUACUCGCAGAAUAAGCACCGGCUAACUCUGUUCCAGCAGCCGCCGUAA
rnacentral:rRNA from 1 species